CAGUCGCCACGGUAAUACGUAGGGUGCAAGCGUUAAUCGGAAUUACUGGGCGUAAAGCGUGCGCAGGCGGUUAUAUAAGUCAGAUGUGAAAUCCCCGGGCUCAACCUGGGAACUGCAUUUGAGACUGUAUGGCUAGAGUGUGUCAGAGGGGGGUAGAAUUCCACGUGUAGCAGUGAAAUGCGUAGAUAUGUGGAGGAAUACCGAUGGCGAAGGCAGCCCCCUGGGAUAACACUGACGCUCAUGCACGAAAGCGUGGGGAGCAAACAGGAUUAGAUACCCCCGUAGUCCCUGUCUCUUAUAC
rnacentral:rRNA from 1 species